AAUUUUGUAGUUGACAAGUUUUUCAUUUGAGAUUAUUUAGUGGUCACAAACAUACAAAGUUUUUCAUUUAAUGCUAAGGAUUAGAAGGAUUAAGUUUAAAGAUUCUAUUUUUUGAAUAUAAGAUUUUGCAUAUGAUCUCGGAUGAAUACAAACUUUGUAUCAAGAUUGUAGACCUUAGCGAGAUUUGAAACUUUGUAGUUGACAAGUUUUUUAUUUGAGAUCAUUUAAUACGUCAAAAAAUCAUUUGAAGUACAUAAAAGAAACACAAUGUGCCACAUCAGCGAUUCAAACCUCCAAAAUUGAGGCCUCAGAUUGGCUGACGCCUCCACUUCCCCUCUCUGUUUCUCUCUCCCUUAUGUUCUCCACUCACCCAUCCACUUUCCCCUCUCUCACUCCCUCCUUCCCUCCUCUCACAACGGGCUGGUGGAGACACAGGGCGACAGCUGGCAGCUGGCCCGGCGCGUGGUGGCCCGGGGGCGCGUCGGCCCCAACCUGGGGCAAUGGUCGCCCGGUGGGGGUGCAGCCUCCCUGCAGGAGGUUGUCGUAGUGCACAGGGCCACCGGUUGGCGGCACAACGCGGGGGCACGGUGGCCCCAACCUAGGGCAACAAUAGGCCGACGGCGGCGCAGGCCACCUGAGGGGAGCUCACGACGGC
rnacentral:lncRNA from 1 species